UUGAUCGCCUGCGCUUUUCUUAGAGUGUCUGAUAAAAGUAAUGGGUGGUUGGGUUGGACUGAAUCAGUCCUCCCUCCCUUUGCCGUUUCCUCACAUUUGGGUGGCUUUUGAAAACUUGAUCCAAACAAAAAUGUAAUAAUUGAUGUUUGGUGGAGGCUCUGAAACGGGGAGAUGCUUGGCUUCGGUUCUAAGUGCCUGGUCGUGCUGAAUUACUCUCCACUGCAUCUUAAAGAAAGCACUCCAUCACAUUUUUUCAAGUCCUGGCAUGACACAUUCUCCUCAUCUGUGUUUGUUCAACCCAAGAUGUGCUGGCAGAUGCACCGAUACAGCUCCGAAACGAGGGAAAAGAGCCAUCUCCCUCCUUUAUUGCCCUGCCAUUCCGGCUUCUCAACACAUGAAGUGCAUGUUCUACCGCAACCAUUGCUCUGACUCGGCAGAGCUGAGUUGACCAUUGUCAUUUCCCAACCCGUGUCCGAGGGCCCAUGAAAAGCCUGUGAGGUCUGGGUAAUAACCUUCAGAAUGGCUGUGAUUGCACUUCCAUUCUCCACAGAGACCCAAGGCCAUAACCAUCAAAACGGGCUAGCGAAUGGGAGUGAAUGGCGAUGAAGAUGGGGGUUUGUUCCAAGAGGGGAGAUUAAAGAAUAUAGCUAAGGGGUUUAUGUGUACGUGUGAAUGGUUGUGAGGUCUUAGCUCUAUUUGGACCCUGGUGGUGGUACCUGACGCCAUUAGUGACUGUUUCUCUGAGGCUGGGAUUAGCCGCCCUGUGUGGAAACUGCUGACAGGUGCAAGGAGAAAGGAAAUAGGAAAAGAUUGAAAAAAAGUAGAUAGAGAGUGAGAGAUCUAAUCCUAAUGGACCAGCACAGAUUCUGAACUCAUCUAAUAUCGUAAAAGAAAGUAAACAUUAAAUGGGCUAUAGCUCCCACCCGGACCAACUAACAGGAGCCACAGCCCAAUACUGAUAACUCCUGACCUUGACAGAAACCAGACACAAGCUCUCUUAAAGGACCUGCACUGUCACAUCUCAAGCACUUUUAAAUCAAUGAGAGCAGCUAAUAAUAUUAAAACACUGCUAUAAAGUGUUUUAAACAUUGUUUUGCCUGCUUGUUUGUUGCCCCUAGAGGGCAAUGAAGGCAUUAGAUAUUAAACUACAUUGUCAAAAAUCGAAUGCAGAGGGAAUUUACUUAUUAUUAUGGCUUCAAGUCAUCCCAUAAGCCUUGUGUUGUCUUAGAUGAGAAAAGCACACGCAAUGCCUAAAGGUUUUCUUGUAUAAAAAAAGUUUGGAGACUCUUGACCUUGCGAAGGUUACAUGCUGUAAUUUGCAGUCGAAUGGUUGUCAUUUGUCUGGAUAUGGCUCAUGUAGUUGGUUGGUGUAUUAUUUCUAGCCUGGGAGAGAAGGCUACUGAUCGGUGCUUUAUUGUAGUGUGUGACUAAGUGGGUGGGUUGAGACUCAGACUGCACAGUUAAUGGGUUUAUAGAAUCUUAUGUUCCAUGGCCAAAUCUCUCGUUACUAGAUGAGUGCAUUGGCACAGCAAUAGCCUGAAAGCAAAUAAAUCUGGGUAUUAUUUUAGCAAUUAAAUUGCUAGUUUAAUUGUACUAUAUGCAUAUUAUGUGUAAUAGUUUUAUUUUUGUUUUCUGGAUUUUAUUUUGGUGUAGACAAGUUGUAAUUUCAAUUCCGUCCUCUCAGUGGCGCUGUAACACAACACAUUCAAUCUUUUAAACAGCUAAAGACCUUAAUCAUUCCUUGUGCAUUAAUAUAAUGUUUUUCUGUAAUUCACUAUUUAGUUGCAUAGUAUGUUACUUCUCACACCAACUGAUAAAAAACAAUAAAUGCUAAUUGAUAUUAGUCCACUGUUUGUGUUGCCAAUAAAUCUGGUUUUGACAAUAUGAACUUGGCAAAGUACAUGGAAUCAGCAUGGAGUUAAUGCUCUCCCUGCUGUUAUUGUUUUUUCCACAAAUAUUGAAGCCUGUGAAAUAAACUGUGAUAAUGUA